rnacentral:rRNA from 1 species
AUUGAACGCUGGCGGCAGGCCUAACACAUGCAAGUCGAGCGGAUGAAGGGAGCUUGCUCCUGGCUUCAGCGGCGGACGGGUGAGUAAUGCCUAGGAAUCUGACUGGUAGUGGGGGAUAACGUACGGAAACGGGCGCUAAUACCGCAUACGUCAUGAGGGAGAAAGUGAGGGAUCUUCGGACCUCAAGCUAUCAGAUGAGCCUAGGUCGGAUUAGCUAGUUGGUGGGGUAAAGGCCUACCAAGGCGACGAUCCGUAACUGGUCUGAGAGGAUGAUCAGUCACACUGGAACUGAGACACGGUCCAGACUCCUACGGGAGGCAGCAGUGGGGAAUAUUCGACAAUGGGCGAAAGCCUGAUGCAGCCAUGCCGCGUGUGUGAAGAAGGUCUUCGGAUUGUAAAGCACUUUAAGUUGGGAAGAAGAACAGUAAGUUAAUAUCUGGCUGUCUUGACGGUACCUACAGAAAAAGCACCGGCUAACUUCGUG